UUUAAAAUUGCAAGUCUGUGAUAAUAAACAGAACUUAUAACGAAAUCUCAGAGGAUUCUUCAAAUUAACCAAAAAUUCCACCAAAAAACUACUUAACCAAAACUUCUGGCACGUCAGACUUUUCUUAUUAACGGGGCAGCUGUCGGCCCAGCGUCCCUCCAGGGCGAACCUGGUCGCCCAGGGACAUGGCAGCCCCCCGGGACGUGAGACACCUACAAGGACUUGGAGCACGUUUCUGCUCAUCAUCGCUGGUUGUAGUGAAUGAGAAUCUACUACGCAUUUUCCUGAUAUUAAUUUCUUGUUUCAAUGUUAUACAGUUAUUUAAAAUUAUUUCUAUCAAUAUUGUUCAUGACAGCAGCUAUUUAAAAGAAAUAUAUACAUAUUAAAUUACUCAUGUUGCUUUGUGUAUCAAAUAAUUGUAUGCUGAAUAUGAGUUGCAGUAAUAAAGUGUGCCUCAGUUCGUUGUGGAUCUGAAGAGUAUUGUUAUCUGCACAGCUAGUGUGUGCUUGGUGUGUCAUCUUGACCACGGCUGGGUGACUCUUGAUGGCUACAGUGGCAGGAAUGUUCCCAUUGGCCAGGCUGGUUCGUAAUGGAGUAUUGAAACUUAAUCAUAUUAUAAUUGUUUUAAAUAUUUAUUUUACUUUAAUCACUAAAGGCCCAAACAUAUUACUUCUAUAUAUUUGUUGUGAGGUUCAGUGUGUACUCAUCAACUCAAAUGUUGUGAAAUCGAGUGCAACAUUAGGUGUUGGUGUUUGUGGUGUUAGACUUGAUUGCGGUUAGCUCGUAAGAUGUCUCUUAGUAAGUUUACGAGCUUAGAGAAUGAGUUUGUUAAAAAGUGUUAUUAAUGAUUAUAAACUAUCAAACACUAUUAAUAAAGAUCAUGACUAGUA